rnacentral:rRNA from 1 species
UAACCUGCCCAAGAGAUCGGGAUAACACCUGGAAACAGAUGCUAAUACCGGAUAACAACAGAUGAUGCCUAUCAACUGUUUAAAAGAUGGUUCUGCUAUCACUCUUGGAUGGACCUGCGGUGCAUUAGCUAGUUGGUAGGGUAACGGCCUACCAAGGCAUGAUGCAUAGCCGAGUUGAGAGACUGAUCGGCCACAUUGGGACUGAGACACGGCCCAAACUCCUACGGGAGGCAGCAGUC